GGUUUUUUGAGCCCAUGGUUAGGGUGCCUGAACCUCACUUGCUGUCACAGGAUUUUUGCUUCUUUUUAAAUUUUAUAUCUUUUACCAGACAUAGGAUACCAAGGUUCCAGGCUCUGCUCAUCCCCUGGGAUGGAUCUCAUUGCUGUCCUUUCUGCUGGGGACCGUGCAGGAGACACAGAAACACUGCUGCCAAGGGAUGCAGAGAAGGAUGUGACAGCAUCACCAGCCUUAGAAGAAACAGCAGCAACGAGAGAGAUGGAAAGUCUGGACGUGGCCAACCCUGAUGGAGCAGUGGUGGAAGCAUCAGAAAGCCCAGAGGCAGAAGGAGUUGCUGAAAUUAUCCAAGCAGCAGAACAAAUAGCAAAAUCUGAAGUGGCCAAGGUGCUGCAGUCAGCAAUAGCUGAGCUCAAGGAGAUGAGGAGGGGUGCAUGGUUAAAGCCAAAGAACACCACCCAACAGGAGGAGGAGGACUGGGAGAAGAAGAGAGAGGUGAUGUGAGAUGAAGGUUGGUUCAUACCCAAAAUGAGGCUCAUACCGUGAGCAUUCCCAUUACAUCCCCUUUGUAAGUGCCCACGCUAUUAAAAAUAAAGAUAUGCC
rnacentral:lncRNA from 1 species